ACAUACCUAAAACGUUGCUUCGGCGGGAAUAGACGGCCCCGUAACACGGGCCGCCCCCGCCAGAGGACCCCUAACUCUGUUUCUAUAAUGUUUUUUCUGAGUAAACAAGCAAAUAAAUUAAAACUUUCAACAACGGAUCUCUUGGCUCUGGCAUCGAUGAAGAACGCAGCGAAAUGCGAUAAGUAAUGUGAAUUGCAGAAUUCAGUGAAUCAUCGAAUCUUUGAACGCACAUUGCGCCCGCCAGUAUUCUGGCGGGCAUGCCUGUUCGAGCGUCAUUACAACCCUCAGGCCCCCGGGCCUGGCGUUGGGGAUCGGCGAGGCGCCCCCCGUGGGCACACGCCGUCCCCCAAAUACAGUGGCGGUCCCGCCGCAGCUUCCAUUGCGUAGUAGCUAACACCUCGCAACUGGAGAGCGGCGCGGCCAUGCCGUAAAACACCCAACUUCUGAAUGU
rnacentral:rRNA from 1 species